rnacentral:lncRNA from 1 species
AUGAAACAGGAGAAAUAUUUGAAGUAACAACUGUUGAGAACUUUCCAAAAUUAAUGACACCAAACCACAUAUCUAGGAAACUCAGGGAACAUGAUGUUUUUCAGUUCUGCUACUUUAUCACUGAUUUUUCUGUCAAUUGUUGAGGGGGAAUAAAAUGACCAAUUAUGACUGUAUCUUUGUCUGUUUCUCCCUUUAAAAGGUCAAUUUUAUGUCAUAAUAUUUAAGUUAUCUCAUUAGGCAUAGUACAUUUAGGAAUAUUACAUUUUUUCAUGAAUUGGCCCUUUUAUCAUUAUAAUAUAUCCCUCUUUAUCUCUGGUAAUACUCUUGACUUGAAGUCACUUUUUAAUAUAUUAAUAAGCUACCCAAACUUUCUUAUGCUUCGAAUAUGGAUGGUAUAGGUUUUCCACCCUUCUACUUUUGAUCUGUUUGUAUCUUCAUAAAGUGUGUUUCAUGCAAAAAUCACAUAGAUUGUGUGUGUGUGUGUUUAUUUAAUCUGACAACAAAGGUCCGGGCGUGGUGGUGAGCGCCUGUAGUCCCAGCUACUCGGGAGGCUGAGGCAG